CCAGCCGCCGCGGUAAUACGGAGGAUGCAAGCGUUAUCCGGAAUGAUUGGGCGUAAAGCGUCCGCAGGUGGCAAGUCAAGUUUGCGGUUAAAGGUUCUGGCUCAACCAGAGACAGGCCGUGAAAACUGACUAGCUAGAGUAUGGUAGGGGCAGAGGGAAUUCCCAGUGUAGCGGUGAAAUGCGUAGAGAUUGGGAAGAACACCGGUGGCGAAAGCGCUCUGCUAGGCCAAAACUGACACUGAGGGACGAAAGCUAGGGGAGCGAAUGGGAUUAGAUACCCCAGUAGUCCUAGCCGUAAACGAUGGAUACUAGGUGUAGCUUGUAUCGACCCAAGCUGUGCCGUAGCUAACGCGUUAAGUAUCCCGCCUGGGGAGUACGCGCGCAAGCGUGAAACUCAAAGGAAUUGACGGGGGCCCGCACAAGCGGUGGAGUAUGUGGUUUAAUUCGAUGCAACGCGAAGAACCUUACCAGGACUUGACAUGUCGCGAAUCUUACUGAAAGGUAGGAGUGCCUUAGGGAGCGCGAACACAGGUGGUGCAUGGCUGUCGUCAGCUCGUGCCGUGAGAUGUUGGGUUAAGUCCCGCAACGAGCGCAACCCUCGUUUUUAGUUGCCAUCAUUAGGUUGGGCACUCUAGAGAGACUGCCGGUGACAAACCGGAGGAAGGUGGGGAUGACGUCAAGUCAGCAUGCCCCUUACGUUCUGGGCUACACACGUACUACAAUGCUACGGACAAAGGGUAGCAAGACAGCGAUGUCAAGCCAAUCCCAUAAACCGUGGCUCAGUUCAGAUUGCAGGCUGCAACUCGCCUGCAUGAAGGCGGAAUCGCUAGUAAUCGCAGGUCAGCACUACUGCGGUGAAUACGUUCCCGGGCCUUGUACACACCGCCCGUCCACCAUGGAAGCUGGCUUAGCCCGAAGUCGUUACCCUAACCGUAAGGAGGGGGAUGCCGAAGGCAGGGCUGGUGACUGGGGUGAAGUCGUAACAAGGUAACCAA
rnacentral:rRNA from 1 species